GAUGAAGAACGUAGCGAAAUGCGAUAAGUAGUGUGAAUUGCAGAAUUCAGUGAAUCAUCGAAUCUUUGAACGCACAUUGCGCCCCUUGGUAUUCCAUGGGGCAUGCCUGUUCGAGCGUCAUUUGUACCUUCAAGCUUUGCUUGGUGUUGGGUGUUUGUCUCGCCUCUGCGCGCAGACUCGCCUCAAAACAAUUGGCAGCCGGCGUAUUGAUUUCGGAGCGCAGUACAUCUCGCGCUUUGCACUCAUAACGACGACGUCCAAAAGUACAUUUUUACACUCUUGACCUCGGAUCAGGUAGGGAUACCCGCUGAACUUAAGCAUAUCAAUAAGCGGAGGA
rnacentral:misc_RNA from 1 species